AUAAUCUCAACUCUCAGCUAUGCAACGUCAUCAGAAAUAAUUGGCCAAUCACAACAUUUCAUUCUCAGUUUGGGCUUCAAUUUUUAAUGUAUGGGCUUGGAAUUAGUUUUGAUUUCGAUUGAGCCUUUCACGUCUACGUAAACCUACGUCUACGGAGACCAAGUCGCGUAUCUCUCUGCCUCUUCCCCAUUUCUCUUCGUCUUCUUCCUUGAAACCUCAGCGUUUCAGUUCUGAUCAUCCCCUUCUUCACUUUCAGAUUCUUCCCAAUCAAUUUCGCAAUCAAUUUUUUUCUUAAAAGUUUCGUUUCAUCUUCCCCCUUUCCUCCUUCUUUAUAUAAUGUUUUUUUUCCGAUUACAAAUCAAAACCGUAUAUUUACUCGAAACUCGAUCGAUGGCGAUGAAACCACAUGGGAAGUCGAUUGUCUUCUCCGAUUACGACGACAAAGUCGUGUUCUUCAAAGAUCUCUCCCUGGGUCACCACGAAGCUCAGUUGCGGUUUUGGCUCAUCCAUUUCUGGGAGGCUUGGAACCCAGUUAAGAAGACGCUCAACGGCAUGGAGAUGCUACUCAUCGACGAAAAGGUAGAAGACGCUCAUCGGCAUGGAGAUGCUACUCAUCGACGAAAAGGGAUUAGUAAUAUGUUAGUUACUAAGAUGCCGAAAGCGAAUUCUUAAUCAUUCUCUUUUACAGUUACCGUCUAUUUCAAAGGCUAUGGCGGAAGUGACAGAAACCGUGGAUCAGAUGCGGAGGAAUAGGUGGUUGCCAGGGAGAAGCGACUACUAUAUGUGUGGUGAGCCAGGUUACAUGGUCAGAGACUGUUUGGAGGACACGGAGGCGGUGGUGGCUACGGUUGAUGGACAGGAGGAGGUGGUGGCCACGAGGUGGAGUCAGGUACGAAGGUGGUCAGUAUCAACAAAAAUUUGAAGGGUCCUCUAUACGAUAAGCACUUGAAGCUACAAAGGUUCUUGCUGAUGAUUAUCAAUGCAAUGGCACUGCUUUUUAUCUUUGGGUAAUUAGUUUUCUUCUUCUGCUCUUUAUCCGUACAUUCUCUUGAUAUCUAAGCAAGUCACCUACCUUGCUUUUUGUUCUCUGAUUCAGGCAGUUAUGUCACAACAUUAACACCAGCCCCACUACUCUCCCCACUCUCCCUCAAUUAAACAUGAUAAUUAUCAUGAAAGCUAACCUUUUGGAGCUGUAUAUACUAUAAAUAUGUUUCAUCUCUGCGAUGAAAAUUCCAAACAGCUAAAAAAAUCUAAAACUCCGCUAUUUACAAGUGAUGGAUCGUUUGUGUCUAUUAGCUUUUGUUUGGAUGUUUACCUGAUUUUAGGUGAUGCAAGUGAUGGAUGAUACCCUUUACCAGGUUCUAGAGUUGCGUCAACACCUGCUAAACCAAAAAGGCAAGAACUCUAGACUCCACUGGGGAGCUCACUAGCCACCACGGCUAGGAAACAUACUAAUAUAAAAACCAGCUAUCAUAAAAAAAACAAGUUCAGUUCCAUCGGAUACAAAUCAAACCUAAGAAAAACUUGACAUGUUUUGGUCUUUUUCUUCAGAUUUGAAGCUGCAGGAAGAAUAAGGAUAUGGAAGAGGAGAUAAACAAGAGAAUAAUGGGUGGGGAGGCUUUGACAGUAGAGGAUGGUAAUAAAUCAUGUUGGCAUCUUUCAGUAUUUAUAAUAACAGCAGACGUGAUUCAAGCAACUCUUGAGAUAUUUAUAAAAUGUGAAAUGGAUGGGUAUGUAUCAAAACCCUUUGCAGCAGAGCAGCUAUACCGAGAACUUUCUAUCUUUUUCAAUGACUUCAGAUACAAAAUCAUAAGGGCUUGAAGAAGAAGGCUGAAGGAACACAAAACUCGUGUCUCCUUUGCAUCUUGAAUUAGUAGUAAGCCUAUAUAUAUGUAUCUUCCCAUCUAAACUAAUCAUACUUUCUCGAUUGCCAGUAAUGUCUCUGAACUUUCUUUAGGAAAGUAAAAAAAACAGAUUGAUAGUUGCAAAAGAGUGUAUAUAGGAAGGCAUGUGUGACAAUAUUGUGGCCAGGCCAAGAAGUUAGAGUAGUAGCAGGAAUCGAUGUAUAUAUUUUGGGUUGCUUUGUGUACCUAUAUAUUAUUUUGGCUGACUCUCGCUAUGUUCUGUUAGCAGCAUACCUAUAUAUAUGAUUUAUGGUUAAUGUCA